CCAGGUCCAGGCGGAGCCCCGCCAAGCUCAGCAGGAUGGUGAGAUGCAGGAGGCCGCCGCCGUCCGACCUCCACGGCUUCAGAAUUCCUCCAUCCAGGAAUAGCCAAGUGAAUAGUACAAACCAUUGUCAUGUAAAAGCCUUGCAAAGUCAUCUGCUUUUAGUAAAGUCCUUCAAUCAGUACCACUUAAAGGACAGUCCAAAACGGAUACCAAUCCACAAACAUUUGUCUCUGGUCCUGAUGAGGUCCUCUGUGUCUUCUCCAUUCAGCUGGUGAUGAAGAAAGAGAGUGAAGACCAAGCAUGGGAGGAUUUUAUGGACCAGGCCUGGAAGUGACCCCCAUGACUUCCGCUCACAUUCUGUUGGCCAGAACUCAGCCACAUGGCCACACCUAGCUGAAAGGGAGGCUGGAAGAUGGGGCCUAGCAGUGUUCCCAAGACCAAGAAGGGAGCAUGGAUAUCUGUCUUUGGCAUAUCUGGUGAGCCAGUGUCCCUUGGUCUUAGUCUGCAUUCCAUUCAUUCAGAAACAACUUAUUCAGCACCUACUGGGUAUGUAGCUCUUUUGACUAAAAAUAUUAUUUUAGCCCCUCACCAUGAACUAACACACUAAGGCAAACCCAGAGCGGCUUCUUCAAGCUUGACAGGUCUAGGUGUUUAAGAUGGUGCCAGGUGAGAAUGGUCAAAGCAGGCGGUGCAUCUCGUGAAAGCGCUUGGGAUUCCUGGGUCUGAUCCUAGCUUGGGCCAAGCAAGUCAUUUUGGAAAGGGUGCCUACAUUUCCGGACCUCGGGCCUCUCACCUGCACAGUGAGAACUUGAACUGGACAGGUGUUUAAGUUCUCUUCUUGCUUUGAGUGUCUCUGAAAGUCUUGGCAACAGUUGAGGAAUUAUGUUAGAUUACUACCAAACCCCAGUGUUUUCACUGAACUGUGAGACUUUCAGUCCUAAAAGCACCACCUCACAGCUUUGGAAAAGAAAGCAAAAGAUAAUACCCUUUACUCAUGAUUAAAUCUCCAACUGGAAGAAGAGUCUGAAAGACAUCUCUCUCUGACCUUGAGAUGCAUCUUCCUUUUUUCAUUAGUGCAUGUACUUGCUUGAUGACAUUUUGAGGGUCACACACUCACAGAGAUCUUCACUCUCAGACUUCACACUGUUUGUUGAGGGGGACGAAGCACAUAGUGGGGUCGUGGGGAAAGUCACCCAUCAUCUACAAAGUAGAAAACCCAAGCACCCAUAAUUGGGAAUUAAUCCAAGUGCAGUUUGCAGAGGCCCAAUUUAUGGCUCCUUUGCUAUAAGAAACUAGUUUUGAGGCCAACGACCCUGAUCAUUAUUUAAUAAAGUUGGUGGCUUUUUUAUUAUCUGAACGACGAUUAGUUUAGCACCUGAAUUCUCUCAUUUGCUUAAUCGUCUCCCUCGAGCGUAUUUGUAUUUUUGAUAGCAGCUAUAAUGUUCUCUUUACUAAUUCACAUCAUUAACCAGUUCCUGCUUAACUGUUUCUUUGUCCUUGCUGGUUUUCUCUAAUUCCUAGUUUUAUCUUCCUGCACUCCAGAAUCUCUGAUCUUAACUUAGCGGCAGCUUUCUGGUUGCCAAACUACAAGACGGAAGGCAGGCCUUCCUGGGCCAUCCAGAUCUGCUGCUGAGCCCCCUGCCGGCCCUGCCAGCCCUCUACCCGCCUUUUAAAAAGGUAAAUACUAGUCAGUGUUUUGGCAUGCUGAACAAAGGUUGUCUGUGAUAUUGCAGUGGGUUGAAGAGUGUACCCUCAAAAUUCACAUCCACCCCAAACCCCAGAAUGUGACCUUAAUUGGAAAUAGGGUCUUUGCAGAUGUAACUAAGGUAAGGAUUGAGAGGAGAUUAUACUGGAUUAGGGUGGGCCCUAAAUCCAAUGAGAGGGUCCUCAUAAGAGACAAGGACACACAGACAUACAGAGAAGGAGACGUGUGAAGACAGAGGCAGAGAUUGAAGUGAUGCUGCCACAAGCCAA